AUUAGAGGCAGCUGUGUGCCUGAGGGUCUUUAGGUAGCCUGUUUACUGAGGGGCAGGGCUGUGAUCCCACCUGGAUUGUUGUUUGUCCUGGGGCUUCUCAGCAGCUGACUGAUAGGUGGGGCCAGAUUUUCCCAAAAUGGCCCCCUCCAGAGACAGGCAGCUGCUGAAUAUUCCCGAGAGCUUUCCCUUCAAUGUCCUUCCCUCACAACAAGCCAGGUUCACCCCUGUUUUCCCGGGAUAUCCUCCAAGAACUGUGGCCAGGUUUGACCCAGAUUCCUAUAGAGCCUUUGCUUUGCCCUGGGACUCAGUGCACAUGAUAGUCUAUGUGCACCUUUUAAGGUUGGGGUCUCCAUUUCCCCCAGUCCUGUGGAGCUCCUGUGCACAAGCCCCACUGGCCUUCAAUGCCAGAUGCUCCAGGGGCUCUUUCUCUCCUGUGCCAGAUCCCCACACGUGAGAGUUUGAUGUGGGGCUCAGAGCUCUCACUCCUAUAGGUGUAUCUCUGUGAACCAGUUAGUUUCCAGUCUGUGGGCUUCCUACCUGGGAGGUGUGGGGUUCUUUAUAUGGCGAAAUCGCCCCUCCUGCCUCUUGAUGUGGCCUUCUCUUUUUCUUCUGGAGUAGGAUAUGGGUUUCCGGUCCAUUUGGGUGGAGAUUGCUCAGUCUUUAGUUGUGAACUUGCUGUUUUUAUUAGAGAAGUUGAGCUCCAGUCCUUCUAUUCUGCCAUCUCAAUCUAGCACACCCCUACAGUUUUUUUUAAGGUAUAAUUAACAAAAGACAUUCGUUUCAGUCUUGUUGAUAAUUUUUUGGAUUUGACCCCAAAGCGAAGGCACCAGAGGCCAAAGUAAGUGGCACUGGUUGGAAGGAAGGCGCGUCUGCAGCGGCAGGAAGACCACCACCCCAGGGAAAGGCAGCCCUCGCGUCGGAGGAAGUCUGCACAGCCUGUGUCUGAGAAGCGGGGUUUCCAAGUUUUUACUUUCGAGGGAGCACUUUUAUCUGUUUCUUUGCUGCCCUGGCUUUGGUGUCAGAUGCAAGAAACCAUUGCCAAAUCCCCAGGCAUGAAGACGUCCCCUCGUUUUUCCGCUAAGGACGUUGUGGUGUUCGGCUUUCGCAUCUAGGCCUUUGGUCCAUUUUGAGUUCGUGCUUGGUUGUAGUGACGGGGAUGUCUCGGUGUCACCCCUUGGCCGGUGGACCGCCAGUCGCCGGCAGCGCUCCUUGGAGACUCACUCCUCUUUCCACGCCCAGGGGCCUUGGCAGCCUUGUUGAGAGUCAGCGGACGGUGGGUGUGAGGGACCCCUCUCCGAUUUGGUUCUCUUCCAUGGACCGUGUCUUGUCUUCGCGCCGGGGUCACUCGACGGGGCUCCCUCCUCUGCAGCAAGCACCCCCUGACCAUUUUCAGAUCGGCUCUCUGUUUUGUUCUUCCCCAAGAUGCUGUGGAAUCUCACGCAAUCCCUGCGACUUGUAGUGUCAGCCUGCCAGUUUCUCUUACAAAGAAGCCAGCAGCUGGAGUUCCCGUCCUGGCUCAGUGGUUAACAAAUCCGACUAGGAACCAUGAGGUUGUGGGUUCGAUCCCUGGCCUUGCUCAGUGGGUGAAGGAUCCGGCGUUGCCGUGAGCUGUGGUGCAGGUUGCAGACGCGGCUUGGAUCCCACGUUGCUCUGGCUGUGACAUAGGCCGAUGGCUACAGCUCUGAAUCGACCCCUAGCCUGGGAACCUCCAUAUGCCGCGGGAGCGGCCCAAGAAAUGGCAAAACAAACAAACAAGAAACCGAAGAGCCAGCUGGGGUUCUGCCGGGGAUGGUGAUGAAUACUGAGGUCUCUCUGCAGAGCAUCAGCAUCUUACCCUCAGGUCUUCUGAUCCACGUACAAGCCGAGCUGCUCCACUUACUUAGAGCUUCAGUUUCUUUCAAAAGUGUCUCAUAGGUAGCUCCCGUCAUGGUGCAGCUGAAACGAAUCCAACUAGGAACCAUGAGGUUGCGGGUUUGAUCCCUGGCCUCGCUCAGUGAGUUAAGGAUCCGGCGUUGCCACGAGCUGCAGUGUAGAUGGAAGAUGCAUCUGGGAUCCCGUGUUGCUGUGGCUGUGGUGUAGGCCUGCAGCUGCAGCUCUGAUCUCACCCUUCGCCUGAGAACUUCCAUAUGCCGCGGGUGCAGCCCUAAAAAAGCAAACAAACAAAAGAAAUGUGCCUUACAGUUCUGGAGUAUAAGUUUGCACUUCUUCUGUUAGAUUUGUCCCAAAGUAUUUUCUUCUUUUCCGUGCUAUGAUAAAUUGAAUUGUUUCCGGAACUUAUCUCUGCCUUGUUCAUGGGAAGCACAUAAACAUGCAGCUAACCUUUGUGUAUUGGCCUUGUACCUGCAAUCCUGCUGGACUCAGUUAUAAGUCCUAAGAGUCUCUUAGCGUGUGCGUCAGGAGUUGGUGCACAUGUGACCGCGUCAUCCGCCGGUGGAAGUACUGCCCCUUCCCCGUCCCAGGGUGCAUGUGUUCUGCUUUUCUGUCUUGCCUGAUGGCUCUGGUUAGAACUUCCAGAGCAGAAGUGGCCAGAGCAGACAUUCUAGUUUUGUUCCUGAUCUUAGGGGAGAAGCUCCCGUGUUUCAUCACGAGUGUGGUGUUGGCUCUGAGUGUUUUCAUACAGAAAGGAAGUUGCAUUGGUCAGGUGCUUUUUUGGCAUUUGUUGAGAUGAUCCUGUGGUUUUGUUUUUUGGUUCUGUUUUUUUUUUGGGGGGGUUGUUUUGUUUUGUUUUUUUCCUGCUUUUUAGAACCGCUGCUGAGGCAUGUGGAAGUUCCCAGGGUGGGGGCUGAAUCGGAGCUUCAGCUGCCGGCCUACGCCACAGCCACAGCAGUGCAGGAUCCUUAACCCACUGAGCGAGGCCAGGGAUUGAACCCAAAUCCUUGCUGAUACUGGUCAGGUUUGUUACUGCUGGGCCACAGCGGGUCCUGGUUUUUUUGCUUUAGCCGAUGCUAAACUUGCAUUCUCGGGAUAAAUUCCACUGGCUCCUGGGGUAUAAGCCUUUUUAUAUGUUGCCUCCUUCUGUUGGCUGUUUUGUUGGGUUUUGCAUCUGUUCCUAAGCGAUACUGGAUUGCGGUUGUCCUAUGAUUCCUCUGUCUGGUUUUGGUAUUAAGGUGAUACUGGCCCAGCGGACGAAUUGGAAGCGUUCCUUUCUAUUGGGGAUUGCCUUUUACUACGGUGUUUUUUAAAAUGUUGUUUUGAUAGUAUGUGAAAAACCACCAUAGUUCCCAGGUUAAAGCUGGAAAACCAGAUACAUUCAGAGAAGCCCAGAUUCUCUUGCUGUCUGUUCAGCUCUGUUCUCUUCCUGCACGGAAUCGUUUUCAUGGCUUCGGUUAACGUGAAAAGCAUUUGUUCUACUUUUAGACUCGAGCAAGUACAUUCAAUUCUGUGAGUGUGUGAUUCUCUCUGUGGGUGUGUGUGUACACACAUAUUUGCUUUCUUCCCUUUCUUAGACGUAAAAAGUCGUAUAUUGGAGCUCCCCGGUGGCUCCGCGGGUUAAGGGUCCGGUGUUGUCACUGCUGUGGCUCAGGUUCCAUCCAUGGCCUGGGAGUCCCCGCAUGCCACAGGCACGGCCAAAAUGAUGAUGAUGAUACCGGUAACAACCAUAAAGUGUGGCCUGCUGCACACGUGGGUGUUUGUCAGUGAACGUUUGUCUCGGAGCCGAGGCCCUUCACCCAGUGUCUUCAUCCUCACUCUGCGUGGAAUGGAUUGUGCAAACGAGUCUAUUUUUAUUUUUUUCCUGUUUGUGUGUGUACAUUCUUCUUCUUUUUUCCCCUUUUUUUCCUUUUUUGGCCACCCCAUGGUAUAUGGAGUUUCCUGGCCAGGGAGCAGGUCUGAGCCAGAGCGGCAGCCUACACUGCAGCUGCGGCAACACUGGAUUCUUAACCCACUGUGCUGGGCUGGGGAUCGAACCUGCGUCCCAGCGCUACAGAGACACCGCCGAUCGCACUGAACCACAGCAGGAAGGCCUGUGUGUCCCCUCUUAAAUGCAGUUUCUAGAACAGUGUUAUUGCAGGAUGGACGCCUUCGAACGUCGCAGCCGUUUCAGGUGCACAGCAGCGGGAGCCCGUGAUGCGUACCUGUCUUCUUCCUUCCCACGGAGGUUAUGGCAGAACUCGGAGUCCGGUUCCCUGUGCUCUGCUGCUCAUCUCCUGCGGAUGUUCUGCUCUGUCUCCUGCAGAGCGGGCGUCGUGGGCUCUCCCCACCCUGCCAGUUCCUCCUCCCCACAUGGUCUCCCCUGUGGUAACCCCGCGACUGGUUCUGAGACCUCCCAGCCUGUCUCUGUCCUCUAAGGAAGCUCUUCUGUACCAUUUUAUUAGCGUCCACGUGGCAGGCGCCUGUGUCACGUGUCUUUCUCUGUCUGACGUCCUCACUUCAUGUGCGAAUCUCUAGGCCCAUCCACGCUGCCGCAAAUGGACUGAUUUCAUUCGCUUUUGAAGCAUUUCAUUCAGUGGGAAAAAUUACUCGUGUUUUGUUGUAACCCUUAAAAAGAUGGUGU
rnacentral:lncRNA from 1 species